rnacentral:misc_RNA from 1 species
UUGAGCAAGAACCGAAAAUUGUUUUUAAAGUCCAAUUCACCCCCCCUCUUGGACAUAUUUUGGGACAUCACAUUAGGAUUCAUUUGCUAAUUAAUUUUGCGUCUUCGAUAAUUAGAUGAGAUUAUAGUGAAUUGUAAGCUAAAUCAAUAUAAAAAAAUAGGUUGAAGGCCUCAUGGAAUGUUAUUUCCGUUAGGAAAUAAUGUGGUUGAACAAAAUUUUCCAUUCCAGGCUUGUAGAAAUUGUUCUAUCCUAUGCUGAGAAAGGAAUGGCAAUGCAGAUAUUUGUAACAUAGAAUUUAC